AUCAGUAAUUCAAAUUCUCAGCGCCAACAACCAUUUUUGCCCCAAAAUAAGCUAAACCCGAUUUAUCUGAACUUGGUGUGCUGCAAUUACUGUUUGGUAUCCAGUUCAACAAUGAAAAGACGGGGGUUGAAGUAUUAAUUAAUUAUCAUAGUGAGUAUUAAAGUGCUGAUUAACACCUUGUUGGCGCUGAAAAAUUUUCAUCCUUUGGACAUUACUUCUAAAGUGCCCAGCCUAAAGCUUCAUCCAGCAUGAACAGACCAAGAAGAUGCAGCAUCUAUAUUGAAAGCUCUUUCUACAGUUAUGCUUUCAACCCAAGGAUAUAAAUUUAAAACCAAUCAUGAAGAUUGGGUCAAAUCCAUCAAAGCCAAAUUAGGUCGUGAUGUUCUUGAGCGUGUUUUUGCUGCUAUUAAUAGUUUAAUGCUACUCAUAAUAAUAUAAAAACCUUGUAUAAAGUUCGGACUGAGAUGCGAGCUGCAUUUCAAAGUCUACUAAA